rnacentral:rRNA from 1 species
UACGGGGGGAGCAAGCGUUGUUCGGAUUUACUGGGCGUAAAGGGCGCGUAGGCGGUCGUGACAAGUCACUUGUGAAAUCUCCGGGCUUAACUCGGAACGGUCAAGUGAUACUGUCGGACUAGAGUGCAGAAGGGGCAACUGGAAUUCUCGGUGUAGCGGUGAAAUGCGUAGAUAUCGAGAGGAACACCUGCGGCGAAGGCGGGUUGCUGGGCUGACACGUGACGCUGAGGCGACGAAAGCCAGGGGAGCGAACGGG